GAGCUUGCUCACUGGUCUCUGAUAGCUUAUUAACGAUUUGUAGCUGUGAAAAUUAGGCAUGCAGCCACUUUGGGGCAGGUUCAUGAGCUGUGGUGCUUUGCUAAAGCCCAAAAAGAUGUUAUUUUUGGCAGUGCAAGAGACAUUAUGAAAGAACAUCAAAGAUCAUUAAUGCAUCUUUUGUAAACACUGUCUCUUACUAAUCUCUGUGCUUCUGCUUCUGGCUGGAUAAAAGCUUCCCACUGAGAUUCCUGCUUCAGCUGGUGCCCCUUUGGGGUCUGAUAAGUGUGAGGCUUCUGAGCUGGUGCUUAUUACUAUUAAUUAAGGAGAAGCUCUGUUCUUGGCAACCUGAGGCACAGUUUCAUGAAUCAAAUGCAAACUGUUCUGAGCUGAUCAAUAAGAGUCUGUUGCUUUCUAAAAUGGGAACCACUGGUUUAUAACAGCAUAAAUAAACUUAAAAAUAAACUUACAAAUAAAGCAUUACUUUAUUUAAGCCACACUCAGGAAUAAGCUCAGCUUAUAUGAAGGAGCCAAGGGUGAAUCACUUCUGGAGCAAAGAAUUGAAGGAUCAGAUCAUAAAUUCAGGCUGAGUGUUUGCUGAAGUUCUUUACCAGAAGGUCUUAAUAUCCUUCCUGAUAGACUGUGGUGGUUUCUGUACAUGCUGUUCAUCACACUGCAGUUUGGGACCCAUAAAGCUGCUACCCAAAGCUCACUUGGAACUCUUGCAGAGUUGAGUUUUCAACACAGCUGGACUGGAGGCACUGUUCAGAGGGGCUGAGCAGUGUGUUAGAUCCCUGUUUCAGUCCAUACUAUACCCUACCUUUUGUUCAGGGGUUGUUACUGCUGACUGAUCUUGCAGGAUUGUGCAAAUAAAAGUGAAAAUAAAAUUGUG